UUGGGAAGCUGCCUCUCUCCAGGUGCCCAGCAAGGAAUGGGGUGGCCCUUGGGUGCCCAGGGAGGGGCUGGGAGGGAGUCCUGGCUCUCCAGCCCCAUAUUAAGGUCCUCCUGCAGCUGCCAGGGCAUUGCUCACUCUUCCAGCUGCCAGGAUGGAGGUCUGCGUCAUGGAGGUCAUGGAGGAACCAGGCUGUGAGAUGGCGAUGAUGAUGCCUGCCUCACAGAUGGCCGAACUGAUGUGCCUUGCUGCCAUGGAGGAGGCUGCUACCGAUUUGGAGGAGAUGGCCGCCUCUCUCUCCCCAGGAGAACUGGUCAUCUGUGAGAGAAUGUUUCCUUGCAUUUGAAGGUCCCUCCAUUGCUGUAGGAGGCUCCAUGCUCAGGAUGCCCAUAGCCAGCAGGUGAAGAACCGGCCGAGUCCCUCUGGCCCCCUCCCCUCUUUUCCCAGUGCCUCCCCCUCCCUUCU